rnacentral:rRNA from 1 species
AGAACGAACGCUGAUGGCGUGCUUCAUACAUGCAAGUCGAGCGCCCCGCAAGGGGAGCGGCGAACGGGUGAGUAACGCGUGAACAAUCUGCCUUAAAGUGGGGGAUAACCAUUCCAACGGAUGGCUAAUACCGCAUAGGAUUUGGGACCGGCAUCGGUCCUCUAUGAAAGCAUUUAUGCGCUUUAAGAUGAGUUCGCGUCCCAUUAGCUAGUUGGCGGGUAACGCCCACCAAGGCAACGAUGGGUAGCCGGCCUGAGAGGGUGUCCGGCACGAUUGGGACUGAGAUACGGCCCAGACUCCUACGGGAGCAGCAGGUAGGGUAAUUUGCGCAAGUCGGGGGAAACCCUGACGCAGCAACGCAUGUGUGGAGUGACGCUAGUUUCGGUGUACGUAAACCGUACUUGGUCGGACGAA